rnacentral:rRNA from 1 species
CCAGUGACUCUGUUCAACGGCCGCGGUAUCCUAACCGUGCGAAGGUAGCGUAAUCACUUGUUCUUUAAAUGAGGACUAGUAUGAAUGGCACCACGAAGGUUAUACUGUCUCCUUUCUUUAAUCAGUGAAACUAAUCUCUCCGUGAAGAAGCGGGGAUAUAAUUAUAAGACGAGAAGACCCUAUGGAGCUUUAAACGUGAGUAACAAUUGCCCGCCAUAAUAUUUUUCCCCGGAAAUUAACCACAAUACUUAGGCAUCUUGAUUACAAGUUUUAGGUUGGGGUGACCGCGGAGCAGAGAAUAACCUCCGCAGUGAAUGGAACUUAUUUCCUAAACCCAGGGCUACGACCCUAAGCAUCAAUAAAUUGACACCAAUUGACCCAAUAUUUUGAUCAAUGAACCAAGUUACCCUAGGGAUAACAGCGCAAUCCACUUCAAGAGCCCCUAUCGACAAGUGGGUUUACGACCUCGAUGUUGGAUCAGGGUAUCCCAGUGGUGCAGCCGCUACUAAAGGUUCGUUUGUUCAACGA